CUUUUUUACUUCAAACACCCCUCGAAAAAGAAGAAGAGAGAAAGAAAAACGGGGAAGCGCGUUUCGGAUCAGCUCCCGGGGCCGGUGCUUCCCUCGAGGCGCACCCCGCGGGCCAGCCCCCAGCCCCGCCGCAGGCGACGAGUGCCUGCUGCCCCGUGGCUCGCGGGCGCUUGGCUUCCCCGGCCCGGCCACCUCUCGCCCCGUGCCUUGAGGCCCCCACACCCUCGCCCCAGGCCGCCGGAGUGUAGCGGGCCGUGGACCGUUUUCUGGGAGGCCAAGCGCCCGCGUUCCGUUCCGGAGGUGGCAGACGGGGCGUAAAAUGCCUGGUGUGCCGCUCCCCGGCUGGGUGGUAGCGAGGAACAUCCUCCACCUCCCUCUGCGCCUCACUCUCCCCAGCUGCGAAGUGGGGGGCGGACCUCAAAGCACAGGACACUGGAGAUCCAUCCCCUGGCUCGGUGACCCGGCCACACUGAACCUGGAGUACCUGGAAGUUGUUACUUGUAUUAGUUUGUGGUUGUUAUUUUUAACUCCGAGAGCUAGCCUGCAGAACGCCCCGAGGCCUGGGAAAAUUCGAAGCCCGAUCUCCUUCCGCCCCAUCGCGACCGACUUUCCAGCUUCCCAGGCUUGGAGACAGGGGCCUGGGCCCGAUGAACUCGAAUCCACCUCCUCUCGCGGGAAGCUACUUUUAACAUUGUAUCCUCUCACAACUUUGACCGGCUGUGGACGCGGCGAAAUAAAUAAUCCCAGAUGGGAUUGCAGAGA